rnacentral:rRNA from 1 species
UGGGGAAUUUUGGACAAUGGGCGAAAGCCUGAUCCAGCAAUGCCGCGUGUGUGAAGAAGGCCUUCGGGUUGUAAAGCACUUUUGUCCGGAAAGAAAUCCUUGGCUCUAAUACAGUCGGGGGAUGACGGUACCGGAAGAAUAAGCACCGGCUAACUACGUGCCAGCAGCCGCGGUAAUACGUAGGGUGCAAGCGUUAAUCGGAAUUACUGGGCGUAAAGCGUGCGCAGGCGGUUUGCUAAGACCGAUGUGAAAUCCCCGGGCUCAACCUGGGAACUGCAUUGGUGACUGGCAGGCUAGAGUAUGGCAGAGGGGGGUAGAAUUCCACGUGUAGCAGUGAAAUGCGUAGAGAUGUGGAGGAAUACCGAUGGCGAAGGCAGCCCCCUGGGCAAUACUGACGCUCAUGCACGAAAGCGUGGGGAGCAAACAGGAUUAGAUACCCUGGUAGUCCACGCCCUAAACGAUGUCAACUAGUUGUUGGGGAUUCAUUCCUUAGUAACGUAGCUAACGCGUGAAGUUGACCGCCUGGGGAGUACGGUCGCAAGAUUAAAACUCAAAGGAAUUGACGGGGUCAUAGCUGUUUCCU